rnacentral:rRNA from 1 species
UAGGACGGCCAUAGUGGUGUGGUUUUACCCGAUCCCGUUUCGAUCUCGGAAGUCAAGAACAUCAAUGUUCAUCGUUGUACUGCUCUUCGUAGUGGGAACCGAUGUUCGCUGUCCACC